rnacentral:tRNA from 1 species
GGCCCCAUGGUGUAAUGAUUAGCACCCUGGACUCUGAAUCCAGAGAUCCGAGUUCGAGUCUCGGUGGGACCU